rnacentral:lncRNA from 10 species
CUGGUAGUGGGCGGGGCCCUAGAACUCCCAAGAUUCUAUACCUUUUGUCUUCCGCUGCCGCGUGGAUAGGGAAGGACCAUCAGGUUGGGGCAGGGCGAGGCGUGUCUGAGCUCAGACUUUACUUGGGCGGGUCUUGCUGCAGCUGCUGUGGAGAAUGGGGGUCACAUGGAAUCUACACAUGGAAGGACAUAGGCAUUGCAUGCAGGUAUCCGGAAUCAUUGAUAUUGGUCUUAAAAUUUGGAAGUUUCCACUUUUGCUAAGCCAUGUGAGGACACAACAAGAAGGCAUCACCAAUGAAGAAUAGGCCUUCAUCAGACAUCCAAUCUGCAGGCCUCUUGAUCUUGGACUUCCUAAUCUACAGAAUUGUGUGUUCCUGGUGAUAUGUG